UAAAGAGUGGUUAGAAUUGUCAAUUUUUAUGAAACUUCAGACAGCAUGCUUUUCUUGUACUUCUUGAUUAUGUGUAUUACCUCUGAUACUUUUUGUCGACAUUAUUGGGACCUUGGCUUCUAUGUCAUAACUAGAAAUCACAUGCAUUAGCUUUGUUUGCUAUGUCUUCUUGGCUAGUUACUUCGUUCCACAACACAUGCUUGGACUUGUGCCAAAGUAAGCUGCAGUAGGUGCAUAACUUGGGCAAGUUUUGACCAACAUUCAUGCCUAUAUGAGGAGCUUUGAGCUCUUUUUUUGGGUGGCCACAAAUUUGAGAGAUUGUGAGGUGUGUGCUGUAGUGGAGCAAGCUGCUUGCUUGCAUGUGAGAGUACUUAUUUCAUAUAAGAGUGUAUUUUGUGAGGGUGCAAGUGAGAUCACUACUUAGUAACGGUAACACUGAUGGGUAUAAUUGGGUUGAUGGAUUUGUGAGUGCGUG
rnacentral:misc_RNA from 1 species